GGGCGUCUUUUGCGUUUUGUUUUUCCGGAUUUUGCAUCAACUUGUAAACUUAGUUUAAUUCGUUCUUCACCUCUUUCCAACGGUUACUUUUGUAUUACAAUUGAGGCGAUCUCAAAAUCUGACUGCCGCGUCGAGCCGUUCUUGAAUAAAUCUGUAAGGAGCGAUUGUAUUGAUGACGCAGGCCUUAACAUUCGGCUAUUUUCGGAACAACUUUAGAAAGAGGCAAGGAACGAAUUGGGCUAAGCUUAAAGCUAAACAAUGUUGGUGAAACCGGGCCUUAAUGUUUUGAUAGAACAAUUUAUGACAUUUAUUAAGACUAAACAUGUGUUAAAAAAUGUAACAUAAAGCAUAACAUAUUAAAAUAGCAUGGAGCAAA